GGAAUCUUGCGCAAUGGACGAAAGUCUGACGCAGCGACGCCGCGUGGGUGAUGAAGGCCUUCGGGUUGUAAAGCCCUGUGGGGAGAGACGAAUAAGUAGAAGCUAAUAUCUUCUAUGAUGACGGUAUCUCCUUAGCACGACCCGGCUAACUCUGUGCCAGCAGCCGCGGUAAGACAGAGGGUGCAAACGUUGUUCGGAAUUACUGGGCGUAAAGCGUGUGUAGGCGGCUACGUAAGUCGGAUGUGAAAGCCCCAGGCUCAACCUGGGAAGUGCACUCGAUACUGCGUAGCUUGAGUAUCGGAGAGGUUGGUGGAAUUCUCGGUGUAGAGGUGAAAUUCGUAGAUAUCGAGAGGAACACCGGUGGCGAAGGCGGCCAACUGGACGAAUACUGACGCUGAGACACGAAAGCGUGGGGAGCAAAC
rnacentral:rRNA from 1 species